ACUAAGCGUACACGGUGGAUGCCCUGGCAGUCAGAGGCGAUGAAGGACGUGCUAAUCUGCGAUAAGCGUCGGUAAGGUGAUAUGAACCGUUAUAACCGGCGAUUUCCGAAUGGGGAAACCCAGUGUGAUUCGUCACACUAUCAUUAACUGAAUCCAUAGGUUAAUGAGGCGAACCGGGGGAACUGAAACAUCUAAGUACCCCGAGGAAAAGAAAUCAACCGAGAUUCCCCCAGUAGCGGCGAGCGAACGGGGAGGAGCCCAGAGCCUGAAUCAGUGUGUGUGUUAGUGGAAGCGUCUGGAAAGGCGCGCGAUACAGGGUGACAGCCCCGUACACAAAAAUGCACAUACUGUGAGCUCGAUGAGUAGGGCGGGACACGUGGUAUCCUGUCUGAAUAUGGGGGGACCAUCCUCCAAGGCUAAAUACUCCUGACUGACCGAUAGUGAACCAGUACCGUGAGGGAAAGGCGAAAAGAACCCCGGCGAGGGGAGUGAAAAAGAACCUGAAACCGUGUACGUACAAGCAGUGGGAGCCUCUUAAUGGGGUGACUGCGUACCUUUUGUAUAAUGGGUCAGCGACUUAUAUUCUGUAGCAAGGUUAACCGAAUAGGGGAGCCGAAGGGAAACCGAGUCUUAACUGGGCGUUAAGUUGCAGGGUAUAGACCCGAAACCCGGUGAUCUAGCCAUGGGCAGGUUGAAGGUUGGGUAACACUAACUGGAGGACCGAACCGACUAAUGUUGAAAAAUUAGCGGAUGACUUGUGGCUGGGGGUGAAAGGCCAAUCAAACCGGGAGAUAGCUGGUUCUCCCCGAAAGCUAUUUAGGUAGCGCCUCGUGAAUUCAUCUCCGGGGGUAGAGCACUGUUUCGGCAAGGGGGUCAUCCCGACUUACCAACCCGAUGCAAACUGCGAAUACCGGAGAAUGUUAUCACGGGAGACACACGGCGGGUGCUAACGUCCGUCGUGAAGAGGGAAACAACCCAGACCGCCAGCUAAGGUCCCAAAGUCAUGGUUAAGUGGGAAACGAUGUGGGAAGGCCCAGACAGCCAGGAUGUUGGCUUAGAAGCAGCCAUCAUUUAAAGAAAGCGUAAUAGCUCACUGGUCGAGUCGGCCUGCGCGGAAGAUGUAACGGGGCUAAACCAUGCACCGAAGCUGCGGCAGCGACGCUGAUGCGUUGUUGGGUAGGGGAGCGUUCUGUAAGCCUGUGAAGGUGGCCUGUGAGGGUUGCUGGAGGUAUCAGAAGUGCGAAUGCUGACAUAAGUAACGAUAAAGCGGGUGAAAAGCCCGCUCGCCGGAAGACCAAGGGUUCCUGUCCAACGUUAAUCGGGGCAGGGUGAGUCGACCCCUAAGGCGAGGCCGAAAGGCGUAGUCGAUGGGAAACAGGUUAAUAUUCCUGUACUUGGUGUUACUGCGAAGGGGGGACGGAGAAGGCUAUGUUGGCCGGGCGACGGUUGUCCCGGUUUAAGCGUGUAGGCUGGUUUUCCAGGCAAAUCCGGAAAAUCAAGGCUGAGGCGUGAUGACGAGGCACUACGGUGCUGAAGCGACAAAUGCCCUGCUUCCAGGAAAAGCCUCUAAGCAUCAGGUAACAUCAAAUCGUACCCCAAACCGACACAGGUGGUCAGGUAGAGAAUACCAAGGCGCUUGAGAGAACUCGGGUGAAGGAACUAGGCAAAAUGGUGCCGUAACUUCGGGAGAAGGCACGCUGAUAUGUAGGUGAAGCGACUUGCUCGUGGAGCUGAAAUCAGUCGAAGAUACCAGCUGGCUGCAACUGUUUAUUAAAAACACAGCACUGUGCAAACACGAAAGUGGACGUAUACGGUGUGACGCCUGCCCGGUGCCGGAAGGUUAAUUGAUGGGGUUAGCGGUAACGCGAAGCUCUUGAUCGAAGCCCCGGUAAACGGCGGCCGUAACUAUAACGGUCCUAAGGUAGCGAAAUUCCUUGUCGGGUAAGUUCCGACCUGCACGAAUGGCGUAAUGAUGGCCAGGCUGUCUCCACCCGAGACUCAGUGAAAUUGAACUCGCUGUGAAGAUGCAGUGUACCCGCGGCAAGACGGAAAGACCCCGUGAACCUUUACUAUAGCUUGACACUGAACAUUGAGCCUUGAUGUGUAGGAUAGGUGGGAGGCUUUGAAGUGUGGACGCCAGUCUGCAUGGAGCCGACCUUGAAAUACCACCCUUUAAUGUUUGAUGUUCUAACGUGGGCCCCUUACCGGGGUUGCGGACAGUGUCUGGUGGGUAGUUUGACUGGGGCGGUCUCCUCCUAAAGAGUAACGGAGGAGCACGAAGGUUGGCUAAUCCUGGUCGGACAUCAGGAGGUUAGUGCAAUGGCAUAAGCCAGCUUGACUGCGAGCGUGACGGCGCGAGCAGGUGCGAAAGCAGGUCAUAGUGAUCCGGUGGUUCUGAAUGGAAGGGCCAUCGCUCAACGGAUAAAAGGUACUCCGGGGAUAACAGGCUGAUACCGCCCAAGAGUUCAUAUCGACGGCGGUGUUUGGCACCUCGAUGUCGGCUCAUCACAUCCUGGGGCUGAAGUAGGUCCCAAGGGUAUGGCUGUUCGCCAUUUAAAGUGGUACGCGAGCUGGGUUUAGAACGUCGUGAGACAGUUCGGUCCCUAUCUGCCGUGGGCGCUGGAGAACUGAGGGGGGCUGCUCCUAGUACGAGAGGACCGGAGUGGACGCAUCACUGGUGUUCGGGUUGUCAUGCCAAUGGCACUGCCCGGUAGCUAAAUGCGGAAGAGAUAAGUGCUGAAAGCAUCUAAGCACGAAACUUGCCCCGAGAUGAGUUCUCCCUGAGACUUAGAGUCUCCUGAAGGAACGUUGAAGACGACGACGUUGAUAGGCCGGGUGUGUAAGCGCAGCGAUGCGUUGAGCUAACCGGUACUAAUGAACCGUGAGGCUUAACC
rnacentral:rRNA from 1 species